UGUUUAUCAAAAACAUGUCUUAAUGGAUAUUUUUAUUAAGUCUAGCCUGCUCAAUGAUUUAUAAUUAAAUAGCCGCAGUAUUUUGACUGUGCGAAGGUAGCAUAAUCAUUUGUCUUUUAAUUAAAGGCUUGUAUGAAUGGUUGGAUGAGGGGGUAGCUUUCUUUGUAUUAAUAAUUGAAUUUAAUUUUUUAGUCAAAAAGCUUAAAUAUAUAAAUGGGACGA
rnacentral:rRNA from 1 species